UACGAAGGGGGCUAGCGUUGCUCGGAAUGACUGGGCGUAAAGGGCGCGUAGGCGGCGAUCAAGGUCAGAUGUGAAAUUCCUGGGCUUAACCUGGGGGCUGCAUUUGAUACGUGGUGGCUUGAGUGCGGAAGAGGGUCGUGGAAUUCCCAGUGUAGAGGUGAAAUUCGUAGAUAUCUGGAGGAACACCGGUGGCGAAGGCGGCAUCCUGGACCGGUAUUGACGCUGAGGCGCGAAAGCCAGGGGAGCAAACGGGG
rnacentral:rRNA from 1 species